rnacentral:rRNA from 1 species
UGCGUAGGCGGGUUUCUAAGUCAGAGGUGAAAGCCUGGAGCUCAACUCCAGAACUGCCUUUGAUACUGGAAGUCUUGAGUAUGGCAGAGGUGAGUGGAACUGCGAGUGUAGAGGUGAAAUUCGUAGAUAUUCGCAAGAACACCAGUGGCGAAGGCGGCUCACUGGGCCAUUACUGACGCUGAGGCACGAAAGGCGUGGAGAAGCAAACA